UACAUGGGGUGCAAACGUUGCUCGGAAUUACUGGGCGUAAAGAGCUCGUAGGUGGUUUGUCGCGUUGUUCGUGAAAACUCACAGCUUAACUGUGGGCGUGCGGGCGAUACGGGCAGACUGGAGUACUGCAGGGGAGACUGGAAUUCCUGGUGUAGCGGUGGAAUGCGCAGAUAUCAGGAGGAACACCGGUGGCGAAGGCGGGUCUCUGGGCAGUAACUGACGCUGAGGAGCGAAAGCGUGGGGAGCGAACAGG
rnacentral:rRNA from 1 species